CUGCGAUGAGUCGAUAUGUAGCGAAAGCUACAAUUGCGCAAAGGAGGUCAUAACGCAGGAGCGGACCUUGAGAAAUUGUGUGAACCAGUUUCUCACAUGGAGAUGCCUCUCACACUCUCUGGUUUUUCCAGAGAGUUUUUU
rfam:Peptoniphilus lacrimalis DNF00528 contig093, whole genome shotgun sequence.